AUUGAACGCUGGCGGCAGGCCUAAUACAUGCAAGUCGAACGGUGUCUUCGGACAUAGUGGCGCACGGGUGCGUAACACGUAUGCAACCUACCUUACAUUGGGGGAUAGCCUUUCGAAAGGGAGAUUAAUACCGCAUAAGACAGUAGCUGGGCAUCCAGCAGCUGUUAAAGAUUUAUCGAUGUAAGCUGGGCAUGCGUCCAAUUAGCUAGUUGGUGAGGUAACGGCUCACCAAGGCAAUGAUUGGUAGGGGAACUGAGAGGUCAAUCCCACACACUGGCACUGAGAUACGGGCCAGACUCCUACGGGAGGCAGCAGUAGGGAAUAUUGGGCAAUGGACGCAAGUCUGACCCAGCCAUGCCGCGUGCAGGAUGAAGGCGUUAUGCGUUGUAAACUGCUUUUAUACAGGAAGAAACGACUCUUGCGAGAGGCAUUGACGGUACUGUAUGAAUAAGCACCGGCUAACUCCGUGCCAGCAGCCGCAGUAAUAC
rnacentral:rRNA from 1 species